UACGGAGGUGGCAAGCGUUGCUCGGAAUCACUGGGCUUAAAGGGUGCGUAGGCGGCGCGGAAAGUUGGGUGUGAAAUCCCUCGGCUCAACCGAGGAACUGCGCCCAAAACUACCGUGCUCGAGGGAGAUAGAGGUGAGCGGAACUUAGGGUGGAGCGGUGAAAUGCGUUGAUAUCCUAAGGAACACCCGUGGCGAAAGCGGCUCACUGGGUCUCUUCUGACGCUGAGGCACGAAAGCUAGGGUAGCGAACGGGG
rnacentral:rRNA from 1 species